rnacentral:rRNA from 1 species
CUACCAAGACAGUGACGGUUGACGGGGAAUCAGGGUUUGAUACCGGAGAGGGAGCCUGAGAGAUAGCUCCCACGUCCAUGGACGGCAGCAGGCGCGAAAAUUGCCCACUCUUUGCAGGAGGCAGUUAUGAGACGUGAAGAUGACUAUUCGGUAAAGAUGAAUAGGAGAAUUGGAGGGCAAGUUUGGUGCCAGCCGCCGCGGUAAUACCGACUCCAAGAGUGUGUAUGAGAGAUGCUGCAGUUAAAAAGUCCGUAGUCAUAGAAAGAUAAAGAGGGAUGUGAAGUCUCUGUAAUUAGCGAUAGAAAAACCGAUGGGGAACAUAGUAUACCAGGGCGAGAGAUGAAAUUCCAAGACCCUUGGUGGACUAAGCGAGGCGAAAGCGAUGUUCUUGUAGGUAUUUGAUGAUCAGGGACGAAGGCUGGAGUAUCGAAAGUGAUUAGAUACCGCAGUAGUUCCAGCAGUAAAAGAUGCC